rnacentral:tRNA from 1 species
AGAGAGGUGUCCGAGUGGUCGAAGGUGCAGACCUGGAACGUCUGUGUAGUUUUCUACCGAGGGUUCGAAUCCCUUCCUCUCUG